rnacentral:tRNA from 1 species
GCCUGGGUGGCUCAGUCGGUUAAGCGUCUGGCUUCAGCUCAGGUCAUGAUCCCAACAGUCUGUGGGUUCGAGCCCCACGUCAGGCU